rnacentral:rRNA from 1 species
GGGACACGUGGUAUCCUGUCUGAAUAUGGGGGGACCAUCCUCCAAGGCUAAAUACUCCUGACUGACCGAUAGUGAACCAGUACCGUGAGGGAAAGGCGAAAAGAACCCCGGCGAGGGGAGUGAAAAAGAACCUGAAACCGUGUACGUACAAGCAGUGGGAGCACGCUUAGGCGUGUGACUGCGUACCUUUUGUAUAAUGGGUCAGCGACUUAUAUUCUGUAGCAAGGUUAACCGAAUAGGGGAGCCGAAGGGAAACCGAGUCUUAACUGGGCGUUAAGUUGCAGGGUAUAGACCCGAAACCCGGUGAUCUAGCCAUGGGCAGGUUGAAGGUUGGGUAACACUAACUGGAGGACCGAACCGACUAAUGUUGAAAAAUUAGCGGAUGACUUGUGGCUGGGGGUGAAAGGCCAAUCAAACCGGGAGAUAGCUGGUUCUCCCCGAAAGCUAUUUAGGUAGCGCCUCGUGAAUUCAUCUCCGGGGGUAGAGCACUGUUUCGGCAAGGGGGUCAUCCCGACUUACCAACCCGAUGCAAACUGCGAAUACCGGAGAAUGUUAUCACGGGAGACACACGGCGGGUGCUAACGUCCGUCGUGAAGAGGGAAACAACCCAGACCGCCAGCUAAGGUCCCAAAGUCAUGGUUAAGUGGGAAACGAUGUGGGAAGGCCCAGACAGCCAGGAUGUUGGCUUAGAAGCAGCCAUCAUUUAAAGAAAGCGUAAUAGCUCACUGGUCGAGUCGGCCUGCGCGGAAGAUGUAACGGGGCUAAACCAUGCACCGAAGCUGCGGCAGCGACACUAUGUGUUGUUGGGUAGGGGAGCGUUCUGUAAGCCUGUGAAGGUGUGCUGUGAGGCA